AAUCCUGCUAAAGUCAAGAGGGCUCCUUGAACAGAGCCCCUGGAGUCCUACAGUGCUCAGAGUCACGGCAACAUCUCUGUGCCCCACACAGAGGCUGAGGUGAAGAAAAGGCCCCUCUCCCCUUUGGGGUGAAUUUGGCACCUCUCAAGAUCACAGACUGUCAUCCUGGUUUGGCACAAGGUCUGGCUUCAGCAGGAAGGAUGGAGAGUCUCCAGUUUCUGCCCAGUGCCCAGGAUCCUGCCUGCAAGGGAGAUUUAACUGGUGGGACACGUAUCCAUACCCAGUCUGUAUCUUAGGAAAUUACACCCCAAAGGGGAAUGGACUCCUCAGUUCUGUGCCAGUCCCUGAAAUACGAGGUGUCCCUGAUAAUGGGUGGAGGAAGAAGUGGAGAAGAAAGAGGGGAGAGAGUUAAGAAAAUCGUAAUUGGGUCCUUGGCACAAGCUCAUCAUGCAUAAACAUGGCAGACAAAAAAUCCUGAGUGUUAAAAGAAGUUCUUACCUCC